CUUGGCCUCCAAGAAUAGGCUACCUCCUUACAUACUCCUGCCUCUUGAGGAAUACCAUCUGCUAUCUCAGAACCUACAGAACUGCUCAUCUCUGACUUUCCAGAGAGGCCCCAGGGAGGUGGGGCAAGAAGAGAAGGAACAAAGUUGAUUGCCAAUGUCCUCAGAACCUGAGGAUGAAGAACGAAAGACAGUCCCUCUCACCCAAUAUCAAGACCUCCUGAUGUUCCAAGGUGAGGCCACUUGGACCCUGUUAUUAGAUACCUUGGAGGUGGGAAUGGCAGCUUCCUACUGAAGUGACAACCACCUACUGAAGGGAAGGCUGCACUGGGAUAACCCGGAAAAGUAUCUGAUUUCACUAUUGUUCUUCCUUGGCCUGACAUGAAGCCAAGCAUUGUCCAAGUUUCUAUUGAGUGAGUUAAUAAAACCGGUUUAAACAGU